CAAACCAGUCAAACAUUCGUUUUUGGUCUUGCAGCCUGGAUCGUGAAGGUUUUGAAAACAUUUACUAAAAUUUACAAUGUCUCCAUGGACUGGUCGAGCCGUAAUGAGAAUGAAGAUGCCUAUGGGCGGUAGUAAUCUUCCUCUAGCUGGAACUUGUAAAGUUGAAGGAAAGGCUCUCUCCAUGAAAUUUACCUUUACAACUAUUGGAUUUGAACUUCCUAAAGACCCAAGUGUUGAUAAAGUGGAUUUUGAUUGCAAGGUAAAAGGAUCUUGGGGAGAAAUGACGCUUAGCGUUGUUUACAAUAAAGGUUUAGAUUGUUUCCACGGUAAAGCCGUUCAAGAGGGAGAAGAGGAGCCGGGUUUAAGCUUUUGCUUCUGGUCAGAAGACAGCCCCUUGUCUACAAUCCCUUGCCUUUAAGAGCAAUUCUGCAAAAUCUCCAAUUUUAAUUAGUUCUUCUUCUAGUUUGCUUCUACUAUUAUAAACAUGCGGUGCCUUUAAAAAAUUAUUUAACUUUCAAUUGAAGCCACAGGCCUAUUUGCUUAAUAUGACAGAAAUUGGAUUUAAAAUAUACAUAUAUCUAAAGUUUGCAAAUACAUCUCUGUAUGUCUUUAUGUAUGAAAUAUAUAGCAUAAGCACAUACUGUAUAUUACUGCUCUAUCAUGUCUAUUAUGAUUUUAAAUUAUCUUGUAUAGGCGUCUAUCAGCUGCAAUAUUUUCCAGUCAUAUUGAUUGGUAUAACAAAUAUAUGUCGCUGCAGUGUUUGAACAAUUAAAAGCACAAACUUUUCCGAGGACCUUUACUACGAUAAGUGAAAAAAAAAGAAUAAAACAUAAGAGAUUAAAGAAAGGUAUUUUUCUUAUUGAUUAACAUCGUUCGGCUAUGAAAAUAUUGUAAAGGUUUAAAAUUCAAACUUAUCACAUUAAGAACACUUUUGAUAUAAUAUACUCUACUUGAAAAGGUUUUACAAAUACUGUUCCAUACUAUUCAUUUUAUCUGUCAUUCCUUCGUUUCGUCUCUCUCUCACUCACUCACUCUCUCUCUCUCUCUCUCUUUCUGUCUCUUUCUUUCUUGAUUACUCGGCUCUUACAUUUAAGAUAGAUCGUUCUUGAAAAGGAUAGGCGUGUCCAAAGAAAGAAAAAGGAAAGAGAAUAUUGAAGGAAGAAAUAAACGAAGAAUAGAAUUCAUUUGUAUUUUAUUUUAAAUUAUAGAUCUCAGCUAUUAAUUUUUUAUGACUAACAAACUAGAGAUGGCACCACCUUCUGUAGCAAGUUUUGUGUUAUUUCAAAUUACGAUCGCUAAUAUUUGAAUAGUGGAAAAAAAGUACGAAGAAACUAAAGGUUAAAGUUGAUCAAGUGCUUAUGUAGUCCUUAUCAAGUACAUCAAUAGACACUCAUACGGUUCGAUAAUCCUAUAGAUUUCUUAAUUUAUAUAAUAUAUUUAGGCAAUAACAAUAGCAAAUAAAAUGAAAUUUUAGAAGAGAAAAAGAAGGAAAAGCUAAUCUUCAAUCCAAAAUAUAGC
rnacentral:misc_RNA from 1 species